UCUUAUGGAUGAGCAAAGAAAAUGGUUUCCUGAAAUGAAAUCUAUUCCUGGUGAAGAUGGUGUGAA
rnacentral:pre_miRNA from 4 species